AGGAAGGAAGGAAGGAAGGAAGGAAGGAAGGAAGGGAGGAGGGUCCGGGCCUCAUGGAGCUGGCCGCCCAGGAAGGAGCGAGGCAGACCCUGCAUCUGGUGUCUGUGUCCACACCUGCAGGACAGGCCGGCGCGAAGGGAAGUGAGCAGCCGCCUUCUCCGGGCUGAUUUCCCCAACCAUAUCCUCGUGCCGUCACACAUUCCUUCUCACACAGUGAACAACCUUCAGGUGGGAGAAUGGGCCGAGCAUCUGUCCGGCCCAGGACGGCGUCCAUGGCGUUGCUCUGCGGCCUCCCUCGCAGGCAGGGGGUGAUGCCCGCGGCCCCAGGAGCAGAGCCCGGGGACACUAAGGGCCCCCCUGGCCUCCUCAGUGGAGCAGGGCCCAGGCUGCCCGGCCUCCCCUCCGCCUCCCGGGCGUCGCACGGAGGCCCUCCUGGCGCCGCCUCCUGGGUUUCCUGUCGGCGGGAUCCCACCUGGUGAAACUCCCGCGCCUCCAGCACGUCACCGUGGCUUUCUCCAGCCUCCACCACGCAGUCACCUUCGCAGGGACAAGUGUGGAAACCGUGGGAGACAAGCCUUCCCGCUGUGGCGAGGUAUCGGCGGAAUGCCCGGGCUGCGUCCGCCAACAGGCGGUGCGGGCUGCUCUCCCGGAUGCCCGCUGCGCUGCCCGGGCGUCACUGCACAGCUCUGAGGGCAGCGCCAGGGCCUGAGCUGGGCACUGGGAUGUCACCCCCACUCCGCGCUCACUCAGUGGCCGCCUGCGGAUCUGAAAGGAGGCGAGAGCGCCUCUCACCACGUCCCUGUGCCGCCGGGUGAGCCAUCCGAGCCCACAGAGCACACCCGCUUCCCUGCGACCUGGCCGAGGAGUCCGGUUACCGGCAGCCUCCGGGCUUUCCUGGGGACCGCUGGGAAGUGACAGUCACCGCGAACAUCAGAGGUUACUUUCAUCCUCCUCACUGCUCAGCGGCAGGCGUGCGUAACUGUUGGGGGCGCGAGGGCUGUGCAAGGAGCAUCGGACCUGGGAGCAGAGGGACGCGUGUGAUCCAGGCGCCUGUGGGGCCGGGGGCUCGGCUUCUCUGAGGCUCAGCCACGGUCUCAGCGAAUCGUUGGGCUGGGUGAGGUCCGCACGCAGGUCAGGUCACCCCUGUGACGUUAGGACUGGCCGGGGGAAACUAUGGAAGUUCAUAUAGUCCGGGAAGAGAACAAAGCGAGAGACCAGGUGUGGGCUCCUCCUCCUGCUCACAGCCUCCAGUGCGGCUCACGGCCAUCCUCAGGCCCACGCCCAUGCCCAGGCCCACGGCCACGGCCAGGCCCCACACUUUAGUGGAGGAGGCAAGCUCUUCCGUAAAAUGUGGAUUUGUGUCAAAAUAGGAAAUUAACAGCAAACCAUGCCAAACCCCGUAUACCUCUGGCUUUGCUGUUUUCAGACAGCAUGCCAUUUAACCUUCACCCAAUCCUGGCCUCCUCCCCAUUUUACGAAAGGAGAAACCAAGGUCUGGAGAUAAGCGACUCAUUUGACCAGGGCAGACCCACAGUCAAGCCCUCAUUCUGAGCCCUGGCUCCGGGCCGCCCGCCUCUCGCACGCCCCGUCCUGGGGAUCGAGCCGAUACCCGGGCAUGUGCCCCGACCGGGAAUCGAACCGUGACCUCCUGGUUCAUAGGUCGACGAUCAACCACUGAGCCACGCCGGCCGGCCAUGUCACCAUUAGAUUCCCAGGAGCACAGGCAUCAGAGCGGCUGAGAUGACACAGGCGACCGAGGCCUUCACACGUAUUUCGGGAUCUAGAACAAACUCUCCAAACAUUUAUACGGAACCAAAGAAGACCCCGAAGAGCCGCAGCAAUGUCGAGAAAGGAGAAAAAAGUCGGAGGGAUCACAAGACCAGAGAUGACGUUAUCCUACAAAGCCUGGGCCCGAGUGCUUGUCCGGGCUCCCCCCGCCGCCGCCCCCCGCCCCCCGGGGCCCGGCCGCUGCAGGAAGGCCCUGUCCUGCUCGAGGUCGGCGGGCACCUGGACUUGAGCUCCUAUAAAAAAUUCCAGAGUC